rnacentral:piRNA from 1 species
UGCCUGGGAGCUGUCUGGAACAUUCCGCAA